rnacentral:rRNA from 1 species
GACGAACGCUGGCGGCGUGCUUAACACAUGCAAGUCGAACGGUGAAGCGCCUUCCUUUUUGGUGGGUGUGGAUGAGUGGCGAACGGGUGAGUAACACGUGAGUAACCUGCCCCCUUCUUCUGGAUAACCGCAUGAAAGUGUGGCUAAUACGGGAUAUUCUGGGUCUGUCGCAUGAUGGGUCUGGGAAAGAUAUUGUUUCGGUGGGGGAUGGGCUCGCGGCCUAUCAGCUUGUUGGUGGGGUGAUGGCCUACCAAGGCGGUGACGGGUAGCCGGCCUGAGAGGGUGGACGGUCACACUGGGACUGAGACACGGCCCAGACUCCUACGGGAGGCAGCAGUGGGGAAUAGUGCACAAUGGGCGAAAGCCUGAUGCAGCGACGCCGCGGGAGGGAUGGAGGCCUUCGGGUUGUGAACCUCUUUCGCCAGUGAAGCAGGCCUGCCUCGUUUGUGGGUGGGUUGACGGUAGCUGGAUAAGAAGCGCCGGCUAACUACGUG